UGGGGGAUAUUGCACAAUGGGCGAAAGCCUGAUGCAGCGACGCCGCGUGGGGGAUGAAGGCUUUCGGGUUGUAAACCUCUUUCGCUAUCGAACAAGGCCCGCUUAGGGUGGGGUGAGGGUAGGUGGAGAAGAAGCGCCGGCUAACUACGUGCCAGCAGCCGCGGUAAUACGUAGGGCGCGAGCGUUGUCCGGAAUUAUUGGGCGUAAAGGGCUUGUAGGCGGCUUGUUGCGCCUGCUGUGAAAACGCUGGGCUUAACUUCGCGCGUGCAGUGGGUACGGGCAGGCUUGAGUGUGGUAGGGGUGACUGGAAUUCCAGGUGUAGCGGUGGAAUGCGCAGAUAUCUGGAGGAACACCGAUGGCGAAGGCAGGUCACUGGGCCAUUACUGACGCUGAGGAGCGAAAGCAUGGGUAGCGAACAGG
rnacentral:rRNA from 1 species